GAUGAACGCUGGCGGCGUGCCUAAUACAUGCAAGUCGAGCGAACAGACGAGGGGCUUGCUCCUUUGACGUUAGCGGCGAACGGGUGAGUAACACGUGGGUAACCUACCUAUAAGACUGGGAUAACUUCGGGAAACCGGAGCUAAUACCGGAUAAUAUUUCGAACCGCAUGGUUCGAUAGUGAAAGAUGGCUUUGCUAUCACUUAUAGAUGGACCUGCGCCGUAUUAGCUAGUUGGUAAGGUAACGGCUUACCAAGGCAACGAUACGUAGCCGACCUGAGAGGGUGAUCGGCCACACUGGAACUGAGACACGGUCCAGACUCCUACGGGAGGCAGCAGUAGGGAAUCUUCCGCAAUGGGCGAAAGCCUGACGGAGCAACGCCGCGUGAGUGAUGAAGGUCUUCGGAUCGUAAAACUCUGUUAUUAGGGAAGAACAAACGUGUAAGUAACUGUGCACGUCUUGACGGUACCUAAUCAGAAAGCCACGGCUAACUACGUG
rnacentral:rRNA from 1 species